ACGUGUCUGCUAGUAGCUGCAGCUGUCGGCCCACUCGCUCCAGGAUUUCAAGUUUCCUCAGACAAAAAAGCCAUCACUAAACAGUUGGACCAAGUCCCAAGACUCAGCGGGCGGUGAUGAGUCGCCCCCUAAAAAUACUCCUCAAGGAAGCAAUGGAGUAACAGGAACGGAAAUGGGGCUGGAUUUGCCAAGAAGCGUUGGCUAAGACAAGCCAUCAGCGAAGAAUCGGAGACACCUGCAGGUGGCUCUCCCUUCAUAGAGCAAGCAGUCGGACCAUUAAAGAAACGAAGGCUGGCGAGAGAGUCUAUGUCAUCGGAGCAGUCAUUCACUCCACCAACAACGCCGACUCAUGUUGGCAGCAAUUCUGUAAGUUUAUUUCAAUUCAUGCACUUUUUCUAUCGUCAAACCCAUAGAGCUCUGACUUUGAAUAGUCACCUGAAUUUCUCCCAAAAACUUUCCUGAUUUUCAAUAGAAUGAAUAUAAUCAUGUAUUUUGUGGUGUCCGCAGAGCUGGCAAAUUCAGACAACGGCACUUCAUCAAAUUAAUGGAAAAUGCCUAGUAAUAUCAUGAUAAGUUAAGAAUCUUCUCUCUUGCUAGUUUUUUCUCUACGUUACAAGUUUUUACAGCCUCAAAGAAAAACUUUGGAAAUUCGUAUAUUUUGAUGAGGAAAAUUGAUAACAGUAGUUGAACAGUUUUCCAAGAAGGCACCAAAUUUGUUUUAAGAAGUUUGUAAAUGUGAAUAGAAUGUCGUCUCGUUGUUGAUUUUUUUUUUUUUUUUUUUUUUUUUUUAAAGAGUUUUAUUUAUGUGACUUCCAAUUAGAGGAAACAUAUACAAUUAUCAUAAGCUAGAAAUAAUGUGUGGUAAAGCAACGACUAGUUAAUUGCUUAUUAUCAUAAAAUUAAAGAAACUAAACCUAAGACUUAAUUAAGAUUAAAAGGACAUUCAUAAAAAUCAAAUGGGUGAGAUGAGUGAAGAUCUGAUGUAAGAUGAGAAAUAAGUUAUGCAAGUUGUUUAAAAAUCGGAAUCAGCGUUUGUGACAAGCUCCCAAGGCUUUUUCCUCUUAAGUCUCCUAAUUUCUUUAAUAUUAUUUAAGAGUUCAAUUGCAGUUUCGUUUGGAUGACGAUGUAGCCUGUCUUCGUAUCUUUGCGAAAUUUUUGAAUAUAUUUAUAAAUAGAUUCUAUCCCUAAGUCUCUAUGGAUGUCCGUGUUA
rnacentral:lncRNA from 1 species